UCCAGGCAAGGUGGCACACACCUGUAGUCCCAGCUACUCAGGAGGCUGAGACAGGAGGAUUGCUGAAUGCUGUAGUGCAUUAUGCCAAUCGGGUGUCACCAUCAAGUUCAGCAUCAAUAUGGUGACCUCCCGGGAGUGGGGACCACCAGAUUGCCUUGGGAGGGGUGAAUCGGCCCAGGCCAGAUACAGAGCAGGUCAAAACUCCCAUGCUGAUCAUAUUACACAUUUCUUAAUGUAAAUGUAAAGUAAAUAUUUUU
rnacentral:SRP_RNA from 1 species